rnacentral:rRNA from 1 species
UACGGAGGGGCUAGCGUUGUUCGGAAUUACUGGGCGUAAAGCGCACGUAGGCGGUUCGUUAUGUCGGAUGUGAAAGCCCUUGGCUUAACUGAGGAAGUGCAUCCGAAACUGGCAGGCUAGAGUACUAAAGAGGGUCGCGGAAUUCCCGGUGUAGAGGUGAAAUUCGUAGAUAUCGGGAGGAACACCGGUGGCGAAGGCGGCGACCUGGUCCGAUACUGACGCUGAGGCGCGAAAGCGUGGGGAGCAAACAGG